rnacentral:lncRNA from 1 species
GAUCGAGCGGUUUUUCGAUAAUGAAGAGCAAGCUCUAAGCAAUAGAGAACCGGUCCAGCUGAAGAAGGAAGACAAACCGGGUUGAAAAUUUGGUUCGAACCCAUCGGAAUUGUGGGCCAACCAUUACAUGGGUCAUCAUUGUUAGCCACAACGAACCCUUCCACGUAAUCAAAACCGUCACCUUCUGGUAGAGUCACCAGCCACUCUGCAUCUCUAGACGAGUCCUUUCUCCGCCAUGGCUUGGCCGUUGAUGGAGUGACCGUUACCACGCGCCGCCACUGUUAAAUUUGUGGUGGUUGCUGCUGCUUUAACGGCUUUUACAACAUCAGCGGUGGUGUAAGGGCGGAGUACGGCGAGGGGAGUGGAGGAUUUCAUGCCGCCGAAGUCUUUACUAGCGAUGGAAUUUGGGGCGAAAUGGAAAGAAGAUUGGAGAGAUGAAACGUCGUCGUUUGGUGGUGAUUCUGUGUCGUUUCCAUGAACGAAGUGUUCAAGGUAAGCUAUCAUGUUUGAGUUGUGUGAAAUGAAGAUGAAGAAGAGUUUCGUUUUUUCAGUUGAAGAGAUUGAGUUUGAGAAGUAAGUGAAGU